UACGUAGGGUGCAAGCGUUAAUCGGAAUAACUGGGCGUAAAGGGCGCGUAGGCGGAUUUGCAAGUCAGAUGUGAAAGCCCUGGGCUUAACCUGGGAACUGCAUUUGUGACUGCAAGUCUAGAGUAUGGCAGAGGGAGGUGGAAUUCCAUGUGUAGCAGUGAAAUGCAUAGAGAUAUGGAGGAACACCGAUGGCGAAGGCAGCCUCCUGGGCCAAGACUGACGCUCAGGCACGAAAGCGUGGGGAGCAAACAGG
rnacentral:rRNA from 1 species